rnacentral:rRNA from 1 species
UAAAAUUUAAUAGCUUAAAGUGGAUUCCUAGGUAUUUACAGACGAAGAAGGACGUGUUAGUCGACGAAACACUUUGUAUAGCUGACUAAAAGCAUUUUAAAAACAAAGAUUUCCGAAUAGGUUUAACCUUUAAAGUUAAAAAGUAAACCUGGGGAACUGAAUCAUCUUAGUACCCAGAGGAAAAGAAAGUAACAACGAUAUUCUUAGUAGUGGCGAGCGAACAGGAUAAAUAAGAUAUUUCUUAUAUCUUAGUAAAAAAGGAAUUUAAAAUUUUAAAUUUCAAGUAAAAUGGGACAUGUUAAAUCCCGUUUGAAUUAAAAACGAGGCUCACCUCGUAAUACUAAAUACUCGUAAAUAACCGAUAGUGAACUAGUACCGUGAGGGAAAGGUGAAAAGAACCCCGAAAGGGGAGUGAAAAGAAUAUGAAACUUUAAGCUAACAAGCAAUAGAAGGGUUUAAAAUAUAGCCUAACUAUGUACCUGUUGAAGAAGGGACCGAUGAGUCAUGGUAUAUAAGCUAAUAAAAGGUUAAGGGUAAUGAAAAUGUCCGAAGCCAGAGUUAACGCGAGCUUUAAAUAAAAGCAUAGUAUUAUAUAGUUUAUUACCAUGUACCCGAAGCCGGAUGAUCUAAUCAUGCCCAGAGUGAAGCAUAGGUUAAACUAUGUGGAGGCUUGUACUGGUUAAUAUUGCAAAAUUAUCAGAUGAGGUGUGAUUAGGGGUGAAAUGCUAAACGAAUCCGGAGCUAGCUGGUUCUCCCCGAAAUGUAUGUAAGUACAGCUGCUAAGAUAAAAAUAUAAACAUUAGGGGUAAAGCACUGUUUUAAUUAAAGCUAUAUAUUAUAACAUAGUAUUUAAUUAAUUCAACCUAUGAAUACUAAUGGAUCUAAAUUAGCAAGUGAGACUUUAGGGGCUAAUCUCUAAUAAAGUCAAAAGGGAAACAACCCAGACCAUAAGUUAAGGUCCUUAAAGAUUUUUAAGUUUAAAGAAAGGAAGUAAGAUCAUAUAGACAGCCAGAAGGUUGGCUUAGAAGCAGCAAUCCUUUAAAGAGUGCGUAAUAGCUCACUGGUUUAAUGAUUUUGCGCCGAUAAUAUAUAGGAAUAAAAAAUCUACCGAAACUAUGGGGUAUAAAAAUAAAAUUUUAUAUCGGUAGGGGAGCGUCCUGCCUUAGGAUAAAGUAUUACUGAAAAGUAAUAUGAACGAAGCAGGAGUGAGAAUAUCGGUUUGAGUAGCGAAAAUAUCAGUAAAAAUCUGAUACUCCGAAAACCUAAGGGUUCCUAUGAAACUGUUUUUCAGAAUAGGGUUAGUCGAGGCCUAAAAUGAGAUGUAAUGUGUAGUUGAUGGGUAAUUGGUUAAUAUUCCAAUACCAUAAUUUUUUUGCAAUAUAUAACAUAGUUUACGUAUAUAAUAUUAAGUAUUGGUUAUCUUAUUAUAUUAUAUAAGUAAAUUAUCAAGAAAAUCUAUAUGUGCGUUAAAAUAAUUGUGCUCGUACCGUAAACCGACACAGGUAGGUAAGUAAAAAUAUACUAAGGAGACGAAAUAACUCUCUCUAAGGAACUAGGCAAAUUAAUCCUGUAACUUCGGGAGAAGGGAGACCAGUAAUGGUUAUAAAAUAGGCCCAAGCGACUGUUUAUCAAAAACACAGGUCUCCGCUAAGUUGAAAAACGAUGUAAGGAGGCUGACGCCUGCCCAGUGCCGGUAGGUGAUAAAAAAUAUAAUGUUUUUUAAUCCCCGGUAAACGGCGGCUGUAACUAUAACGGUCCUAAGGUAGCGAAAUUCCUUGUCGGGUAAGUUCCGACCCGCACGAAAGGCGUAACGACUUGGGCACUGUCUUUGAGAGAGAUUCGGCGAAAUAGAAAUGUCUGUGAAGAUGCGGACUUCCCACACCAGGACAGAAAGACCCUAUGAAGCUUUACUAUAACUUGAAAUUGAAUUUUAUAAUUAAAUGCGCAGGAUAAGUGGGAGAUGUUGACUUUAUUUUUUCGGAAAUAAAUUAGUCGUUAGUGAAAUACCACUCUUUUAACAGUGAAAUUCUAACGAAAAUUCUGUAAACCAGUUUUCGAACAGUUUCAGGUGGGUAGUUUGACUGGGGCGGUCGCCUCCUAAAAAGUAACGGAGGUGCACAAAGGNUUUUUUUUUUAUGUAAAAAUAUAAAAAAGCUUAACUGUGAGAUAUACAAAUCAAACAGAGACGAAAGUCGGUUUUAAUGAUCCGGUGAUAUUAAGUGAUAUUAUCACCGCUUAACGGAUAAAAGUUACUCUAGGGAUAACAGGCUUAUCUUCCCUGAUAGUUCAUAUUGACGGGGAGGUUUGGCACCUCGAUGUCGGCUUGUCGCAUCCUGGGGCGGUAGUACGUCCCAAGGGUUGGUCUGUUCGCCCAUUAAAGCGGCACGUGAGCUGGGUUCAGAACGUCGUGAGACAGUUCGGUCCGUAUCCGGUGUGGGCGUUAGAACAUUGAAAGAAUUUCUUCUAGUACGAGAGGAUCGAAGAAACUAUACCUAUGAUGUACCAGUUAUUCUGCCAAGAGUAAACGCUGGGAAGUUAAGUAUAGGUAAAACAAUUUUAACUACUGAAAGCAUAUAAGUAGGAAAAAUAUCUUAAGAUAAAUGUUCUUUUCUAUGUAUGCUAAUAACAUACAAUAAGAUUAAGAAAUCAGUUAGAAUAACUGAUAAAUAGCUAAGUUGUAUAAGUAUAGUAAUAUAUUUAGCUUUUAAGACUAAUAAUUCGAGUAGUUAAACCUUU